rnacentral:lncRNA from 1 species
AGUCCCCGAGGCGGAUCCGGUGUUGCAUCCUUGGAGCGAGCUGAGAGCUCGAGAGACGGGGAUUUAGCUAUGUUGCCCAAGCUGGUCUGGAACUCCGGAGCUCAAGCAGUCCGCCCGCCUUGGCCCCCCAAAGCGCUGGAAUUACAGGCGUAAUGCACUGUGCCUGGCCUUUAAAAAAAAAUUGAGGUUAUUUUGGGGACAGUAGAGCGUCCAGACACAUCCUAAUUUGCAUAGCUGCGCAGUUUUAAAAAAUGCAAUGCAUUUUUACCUGUUAGGGUAUGUGAUUUCUGGCUAGUAAGCUACACCGAAUCUUGGCUAGCACAGUUGAAUUCCAUGUCAGAUUUGUAAACGCAAAUUUGCUCUCUGCAUUUAAAUAUAUUAGAUAUAUUUAGGUAACUACAUUUAAAUGUAUUGAGACAUUUAAAUAAAUUUGCCGUCUGUAUCUAAAUAUCUGAAGUGGACCAGGUGCGGUGGCUCACACCUAUAAUCCCAUCACUUUGGGAGGCCAAGAACCUGCUAAGGCCAUCAAACCUAUUGAUCGGAAGUCAGUCCAUCAGAUUUGCUCUGGGCCGGUGGU